GAUGAACGCUAGCGGCAGGCUUAACACAUGCAAGUCGAGGGGUAACAGGGAAAGCUUGCUUUCCGCUGACGACCGGCGCACGGGUGCGUAACGCGUAUACAAUUUGCCUUAUACUGGGGGAUAGCCUUUAGAAAUGAAGAUUAAUACCCCAUGGUCUAUAGAUUUGGCAUCGAGUUUAUAGUAAAGAUUUAUUGGUAUAAGAUGAGUAUGCGUCCUAUUAGCUAGAUGGUAAGGUAAUGGCUUACCAUGGCAACGAUAGGUAGGGGUCCUGAGAGGGAGAUCCCCCACACUGGUACUGAGACACGGACCAGACUCCUACGGGAGGCAGCAGUGAGGAAUAUUGGACAAUGGAGGCAACUCUGAUCCAGCCAUGCCGCGUGCAGGAAGACUGCCCUAUGGGUUGUAAACUGCUUUUAUACAAGAAGAAACCCAAUCACGUGUGAUUGGCUGACGGUAUUGUAUGAAUAAGCACCGGCUAACUCCG
rnacentral:rRNA from 1 species